rnacentral:rRNA from 1 species
GACGUAGGGCGCGAGCGUUGUCCGGAUUUAUUGGGCGUAAAGAGCUCGUAGGCGGCUUGUCGCGUCAACUGUGAAAACCCGUGGCUCAACCAUGUGGUCUGCAGUCGAUACGGGCAGGCUAGAAUUCGGUAGGGGAGACUGGAAUUCCUGGUGUAGCGGUGAAAUGCGUAGAUAUCGGGAGGAACACCAGUGGCGAAGGCGACUUCCUGGCCUGUUCUUGACGCUGAGGCGCGAAAGCUAGGGGAGCAAACGGG